rnacentral:rRNA from 1 species
UUAUCUAUCUAUGAGUCUUGACCAAACUACGUGCCAGCAGUCGCGGUAAAACGUUAAAGACAAGUGUUAUUCAUGUUUAAUCGGUUUAAAGAGUCCCAAGACUGUUAAUAAAGCCCGUAAAGGGGACACAUUAACUAGAGUUAUAUGAAAAGGGGCUCUAAGGUACUGUCAUGUUUAGAGAUAAAAUUCCAAUACAGAUAAUGGCACCAUCAAAUGCGAACGCAUCCCCUUAUGUAAUAACUGACGUUGUCGGACGAAGGCUUAGAGAAGAAAAAUGGAUUAGAUACCCUCGUAUUCUAAGCAGAAAAUGAUGAAUGUCAUAGGUUGAAUAGAAUAAUACCGUAUUAUUAUUCUUUUUGUCUAUAAAUGAAAGUGUAAGCAUUCCACCUCAAGAGUAAUUUGGCAACAUUGGAACUGAAAUCAUUAGGCCGUUUUUGAAACCAGUAGUGAAGUAUGUUGUUUAAUUAGAUAACCCGCACAAAACCUUACCACUAUUUGAAUAAAUAUUUUUAGAUAUAUUUACAAUUGUUGCNCGGUUGUCUUCAGUUAAUGUCGUGAGACAGG